rnacentral:lncRNA from 1 species
UUUGGUGCAGACUCUGGGCUUGGGUCUGUGGUGUGUCCUUGCUAGCCCUGCCCGUUCCAAGUUGGUAGUGGCCUGUGCGGCCCAAGUAAAAGCUCGGGCUUCACUGGACCUGAAGUGGCAGGAACGGCAUGAGGCUAGCUUCACAGAGCAGCGAUCACUGCUCGCUUCCAACGGUGGAAGGAUAACAGACCGCUACAUCACGGGCCCGACCUGGACCCCGAGGAGCCGGCAGCAAGGAUCGGAGAGGGAGUGAUGGAAGGAUAAUAGCCCGCUACAUCAUGGACCCGACCUGGACCACGAGGAGCCGGCGAUGAGGAUCGGAGAGGGAGCAGUGGAAGGAUAACAGGCCUGACCUGGACCCCGAGGAGCCGGCGGGGAGGAUCGGGCAGAACUAACUGGAUGGCGGGAGUGGGGUGAAGUGGG